rnacentral:tRNA from 1 species
GGUAAUGGCUCAGUGGUAGAGCACUUGCCUAGCACAUGUGAGGCACUGGGUUCAAUACUCAGCACCA